rnacentral:antisense_RNA from 1 species
AGUUGAAAAAGAGGGGAUUUCAAAAAUUUUGAAAAAGUAUUUGGAAGAUUCCAAGCAUCCAGAGAUUGUGAAAAAUUUAGAAAAAAUAGAGAAAAAAAAGAUGGUGAUCACGACUGGACUUGAACCAGCGACCACUACCA